GAUGAACGCUAGCGGCAGGCUUAACACAUGCAAGUCGAGGGGCAGCAUAAUGGAUAGCAAUAUCUAUGGUGGCGACCGGCGCACGGGUGCGUAACGCGUAUGCAACCUACCUUUAACAGGGGGAUAACACUGAGAAAUUGGUACUAAUACCCCAUAAUAUCAUAGAAGGCAUCUUUUAUGGUUGAAAAUUCCGAUGGUUAGAGAUGGGCAUGCGUUGUAUUAGCUAGUUGGUGGGGUAACGGCUCACCAAGGCGACGAUACAUAGGGGGACUGAGAGGUUAACCCCCCACACUGGUACUGAGACACGGACCAGACUCCUACGGGAGGCAGCAGUGAGGAAUAUUGGUCAAUGGACGCAAGUCUGAACCAGCCAUGCCGCGUGCAGGAUGACGGCUCUAUGAGUUGUAAACUGCUUUUGUACGAGGGUAAACGCAGAUACGUGUAUCUGUCUGAAAGUAUCGUACGAAUAAGGAUCGGCUAACUCCGCG
rnacentral:rRNA from 1 species